rnacentral:ncRNA from 2 species
AAUUGAUUUGGUGAUGGAGUUCACCGUAUAACCGCCUAAGAAGGCUGAUAACUUUUGUUUUGGG